rnacentral:misc_RNA from 1 species
AAAAAUACUUUCGGGCAUCUGGGAAAGCCGGGGUGGUUGAUGCAAUCAUAUGUAAUGAUAUUUGAUUCCUCAUAAUUAUAUGUGAAUUUUUCUGUCGGUUUCAUAUCUAGAGUUUGAUUACAACCCAAUGGCUGACAGUGACAAGACCGGGGAUACCAGCUCACCCCAGGAGGCGGGUGGUGACUCGCUACCACGUGUCAAGAGUGAGAAGGAACUGAAGAAAGAGAAAGCAAAGCAAGAAAAGCUGGCAAAGUUUCAAGCCAAGCAAGAGAAACUAGCAGCUCAGAAACAACAGACGAAAAAGGAGGGAGAGCAGAAAAAGAAAGACACAGGAAAAGAAAAAGUAAAAGUGACUUAUGAUAUUCCUACAAAGCCUGGAGAAAAGAAGGAUGUCAAAGCUUCCAUGCCAGACGCCUACAGUCCCCAGUAUGUGGAGGCAGCUUGGUAUGACUGGUGGGUCCAGUCUGGGUUCUUCAAACCAGAGUAUGGGGGCAGAGACCUGACAAAGUUGAAGCCUGAAGAGAAGUUUAUGAUGGUUAUUCCACCUCCUAAUGUGACUGGGUCCCUGCAUUUAGGUCAUGCCCUUACUAAUGCUGUGGAGGAUUGUAUUGCUCGAUGGCAGAGAAUGAAAGGAAAGGUUGUUUUGUGGAACCCAGGUUGUGACCACGCUGGUAUUGCCACACAAGUCGUGGUGGAGAAAAAGCUGAAGCGAGAGAUGGGAAAGUCUAGACAUGACCUCGGGAGGGAGGCAUUUGUGGAGCAUGUGUGGAAGUGGAAAAAUGAAAAAGGAGAUAGAAUUUAUCAUCAGCUUAAAAAGUUGGGAGGAUCUUAUGACUGGGAUAGAGCUUGCUUUACAAUGGACCCAAAAUUGUAUCGUGCUGUAACUGAAUCAUUUGUCCGAUUACACGAUGAUGAAUUCAUCUACAGAAGUGUACGACUCGUCAACUGGUCGUGUGCUCUGAAUUCUGCCAUAUCUGAUAUUGAGGUGGAGAAGAAAGAAUUAAAUGGCAAAACCAUGCUUGCUGUACCCGGCUACAAAGAGAAAGUAGAGUUUGGAGUGCUGGUGUCCUUCGCUUAUCCUGUGGAAGGAUUAGAUGAGAAGAUCAUUGUAGCCACCACUCGUAUUGAGACCAUGUUGGGAGACACAGCUGUGGCGGUACAUCCAGACGAUGAUCGUUAUAAACAUCUACACGGAAAGACAGUGCGACACCCACUGGUGGAUAGAGUUCUCCCGAUUGUGGCGGAUAGCUUUGUGGACAUGGCGUUCGGAACAGGUGCUGUAAAAAUCACACCCGCCCAUGAUGUGAAUGAUUAUGAAGUCGGUGUGAGACAUAACUUGCCAUUUAUUACCAUUAUUGAUGACAAUGGAAACAUUACAAAUGACUGUGGAGAAUUUUCUGGAAUGAAGAGGUUCCAGGCCAGAAAGGCUGUCCUACAGGCUCUGAAACAGAAGGGUCUAUACAUAGAAACAAAGGACAAUCCUAUGGUGGUACCAACCUGCAGUCGAUCUAAAGACAUCAUUGAGCCCUUAUUGAAGCCCCAGUGGUAUGUGAAGAUGGAGAAGAUGUCUGAAGAUGCAGUAAAGGUUGUGAGAAAUGGAGAACUCAAAAUUAUACCAGAGAUGCACAAGAAAACAUGGUACAACUGGUUGGAAAACAAUAGAGAUUGGUGUAUAUCUCGACAGCUGUGGUGGGGACACAGAAUUCCGGCCUAUUUUGUGAAAGUGGAGGAUCCCUCUGUACCAUCAGGAGAGGAUACAGAUGACAAGUAUUGGGUGUCAGGGAGAGAUGAAGAGGAAGCAAAGGAAAAAGCUGCAGCCAGAUUCAACGUCCCCAAGGACAAAAUAUCUCUAAAACAAGAUGAGGAUGUACUGGACACAUGGUUUUCCUCUGGCAUAUUUCCUUUCUCCAUAUUUGGAUGGCCUGACAAUACAGUAGAGUUGGAAGCCUUCUACCCUGGAACUCUGUUGGAGACGGGACAUGAUAUUCUCUUCUUCUGGGUGGCCAGGAUGGUGAUGAUGGGACAGCAGCUGAUGGGAAAACUCCCAUUCCAAGAGGUGUACUUACAUGCCAUGGUCAGAGAUGCUCAUGGGAGGAAGAUGUCAAAGUCCCUUGGUAAUGUUAUAGAUCCCCUGGAUGUCAUCUAUGGCAUAACACUGGAGGUUCAAAAAUAUGUUUUUAUAAAUGCAAGAAAAAAUUUUGAUUGAAGGAAUUGCAUGAGCGUUUACUGGAUGGAAAUUUGGAAGGAAAGGAGGUUGAAAAAGCCAAGGCAGGACAGAAAGCAGAUUAUCCACAAGGAAUACCAGAAUGUGGAACAGAUGCCCUCCGCUUUGCCUUGGUGGCUUAUACUUCACAAGGUCGGGAUAUAAAUCUGGAUGUGCUUCGAGUACAGGGUUACAGAUUUUUUUGCAAUAAACUUUGGAAUGCAACAAAGUUUGCAUUGACAGCAUUAGGUCAGGAUUUCAAACCUGAUACCUCUUUUCAGUUUAGUGGCAAAGAGAAGGAAAUGGAUGUUUGGAUCGUGAGCCGUCUCAGCCUUGCUGUAGAAUUAUCAAACACAGGAUUUGAGAAUUAUGACUUCCAAUCAGCCACUACAGCAUGCUAUAACUUCUGGUUGUAUGAACUCUGUGACUGGUAUCUGGAGUACAUGAAGCCUGUGAUCUAUGGAUCAGAUGAAGAAGCCAAGAAAGUCACCAGAAAUAUUUUGUACACAUGUCUUGAUGGAGGCUUAAGACUGCUGCAUCCUUUCAUGCCCUUCAUUACAGAAGAGCUCUACCAGCGGUUACCACGGAGAACAGAGGGCUGCCCACCCAGCCUGUGUGUAACCUCCUACCCUGAGGCAAAGAAUUACUCCUUCAGAAAUACAAAAGUUGAAGGGGAGGUGGAGUUUGUACAAAACAUUGUGAAGUCUCUACGUUCUACGAGAUCUGACUAUUUACUUACUGGAAAAGACAAAGCAGAGGUGUACAUCAAGUGUGCAGAUGACCAGACAGCAGAUAUAGUACGGCCCCACGAGACUCUGAUACAGGCCACCACCAGUUCCAGUGCUGUCCAUGUAGUCACCACCCAGGAACCACCAGAGGGCUGUGCCAUUCAGAGUGUGUCCAUCAACUGUCAAACCUAUCUCAUGCUGAAGGGAUUGAUUGAUUUUGAAAAAGAGAAGGUGAAGUUGGAGGGUAAAAAAGAAAAGUUAGUGGCACAGUUGACCAAACUUCAAGAUUCCACUGCUGUUCCAGGGUAUGAGGAAAAAGUGCCAGAAAAAGUCCGCACACAAAACACAGAGAAGAUGAAUGAAAUCAAUAUUGAAGUGGAGAAAAUCACUGAAGCUAUUGCAACCAUCUCUAAGCUACAAUGAAAGAACAUGUAAAAACUUGGUCAAUUAUUUGACAUUUUUAUUUGUGAUCACCCUGUUACCUUUUCCAUUAUUUAUUGUACAAUGACUGAAAGACAAGGACACGGUCCAAACACUGAGUGAAAACAUUGAAUUUGGAGAGGGAGAUUGAUUGGACAAGUUAUAAUGUAACAGAAACCAUAAAUGUAGAGCUUGUGAUAAUAAAUGUCUGGAUUUAU